rnacentral:rRNA from 1 species
AUUUUGGUUCCGAUUUAACGUUAUUCAGUAGUCUAAGACAUGCAAAUCUUUUUUCUUCGAAAUUAAUAUUAGAAGAAAAGGUGUAAAGGUGAGUAAUAUAAGUUUAGAUACCCUAAAGUCUUCUUAGAUAGGAGAUAUUUCUUAAAUUUUUUAAUUUAAGAGAAAUAAUUAGCUAUUUUUAUUAAUAAAGGAAAUUUUCCGCUUUAGGAUUCGAUUUAUUUUGAUUAGGUUGUUGGUAUGGGUAAUGGCCUACCAAGCCUACGAUCGAAAGCUAUGCUUGAAAGAGCCUCUAGCCACAUUGGGAAUGGAAUCUCCCUAGUAGAGUUAUCUACCAGCAGUCAAGAAUAUUAGUCAAUGCUCGAAAGAGUGAACUAGCUAACUGAAAUCACUUUAGAAGUGAUAACGUAAGGGAAAAUAAUGAUAUUACCUUACUAUAAGUGUUGUCCAAAUCUGGUGCCAGAAGACUCGGUAAGGCCAGGAACGCGAACGUUAGUCAUCUUAAACAGGCGUAAAGGGUGAGUAGGCAACUUUAAAAUUCUAAUUUUUUAAAAUAGCAAAUAAAAAAGAGGAAAAGUAGAAGAUAGAAUCUAGUAUAGGAAAAAAUAAAAUCGAGAAUAAAGGUUAAAAUCUGCAGUAAACUCGAUAGAAUACUAAAGGCGAAGGCAUUUUUCCAAUAAAGAUUGACGCUGAGGAACGAAGGAUAGGGCAAGAAUCAGGAUUAGAUACCCUGGUACUCCUUUCUGUCAACAAUGAAUGGUAGUCACUAAAAAAUAUUAGUGUCAAUGUUAACACGUUAACCAUUCCGCCUUGUGAGUACGAUUGCAAAAUUGAAAACAAAAAAAUUAGUCGGUCUCGAAGCAAACGAAGUGAAGCAUGUUAUUUAAUGCGAUAAUCCGCGUAAAAUCUUACCAGUUCUUGCAUAUGAAAAUCUAAAUCUAUCUACCUAACCCAAAAAACUAGGAAUUAGAAAUAAUUCUAACUAGUUUUUUUGGGGAUUUUUAGAAAUAAAAACAAAGGAUAGACAAGAAAUUAAGAUGAGUAAAUACAGGUGUUGCAUGGCUGUCGUCAGUCCGUGUCUUGAGAAGUUAGGUUAACUCCACUAAACGGACGAAAUCCCUGAUGUUAAUUUUUACUUAACAUACAAAUGGUAUCGAUAGGAUUCCAUUUUGGGGCUAAGACAAGUCGUUAUGGCCCUCAUGAACUGGGCUAUAGACGUGCCACAAAGACUAAACAAAAUGAUGCAAUACCCUCUCGAAAUUAAUUUAUCUAUAUUUAUAGAUCAGGUUAAUUUGUUGCUUUUUCUUAUUCUUUUUUUUAUUAAGAAGAAUAAGGUAUAGUAAUUUGAGAAUUAGGAGGAGCUAAUCAUCAAAUAUAGUCAUAUAUAUGAAUAUGUCAGAUUGUCACCUGUAACUCGGUGGCAUGAAGAAGGAAUUUCGAGUAAUCGUUGAAAAUUACGCAACGGUGAAGUGUUAAUUCGGGAUGAACUAACCGUCUGUCGCUGGGAAGGAG